rnacentral:rRNA from 1 species
AUUGAACGCUGGCGGCAGGCCUAACACAUGCAAGUCGAGCGGAUGAAGGGAGCUUGCUCCUGGAUUCAGCGGCGGACGGGUGAGUAAUGCCUAGGAAUCUGCCUGGUAGUGGGGGAUAACGUCCGGAAACGGGCGCUAAUACCGCAUACGUCCUGAGGGAGAAAGUGGGGGAUCUUCGGACCUCACGCUAUCAGAUGAGCCUAGGUCGGAUUAGCUAGUUGGUGGGGUAAAGGCCUACCAAGGCGACGAUCCGUAACUGGUCUGAGAGGAUGAUCAGUCACACUGGAACUGAGACGCGGUCCAGACUCCUACGGGAGGCAGCAGUGGGGAAUAUUGGACAAUGGGCGAGAGCCUGAUCCAGCCAUGCCGCGUGUGUGAAGAAGGUCUUCGGAUUGUAAAGCACUAUAAGUUGGGAGGAAGGGCAGUAAGUUAAUACCUUGCUGUUUUGACGUUACCAACAGAAUAAGCACCGGCUAACUUCGUG